rnacentral:rRNA from 1 species
GACAGAGGAUGCAAGCGUUAUCCGGAAUGAUUGGGCAUAAAGCGUCUAUAGGUGGCUUUUUAAGUUCGCCGUCAAAUCCCAGGGCUCAACCGUGGACAGAUGGCAGAAACUACUAAGCUGGAGUACGGUAGGGACAAAGGGGAUUUUCGGCGGACGAUGAAAUGCGUAGACAUCGAAAGGAACACUCACGGUGAAAGCACUCUGCUGGGUCGACACUGACACUGAGAGACGAAAGCUAGGGGAGCAAAUUGG